rnacentral:rRNA from 1 species
GGAAGUAAAGAAGAGCGCAUGGUGGAUGCCUUGGCAUGGACAGGCGAUGAAGGACGCGAUAAGCUGCGAAAAGCCACGGGGAGCUGCACCAAAGCGUCGAUCCGUGGGUCUCCGAAUGGGGCAACCCAGCAGGUUGAAGACCUGUUACUCCGCGCUGAAUACAUAGGCGCGGUAGAGCGAACCCGGGGAACUGAAACAUCUAAGUACCUGGAGGAAGAGAAAUCAAUAGAGAUUCCGCUAGUAGUGGCGAGCGAACGCGGAAGAGCCCAAACCCAUCUGGUUACGGCCAGAUGGGGGUUGUAGGGCCGCAGACGGUACCGUACGUCGAAGUCGAAGCUUCUGGAAAGGAGCACCACAGCAGGUGACAGUCCUGUAGGCGUAAGACAAGCGGACCAGCGGAUACCCUGAGUACCACGGGACCGGAGAAAUCCUGUGGGAAUCUACCAGCACCAUCUGGUAAGGCUAAAUACUCGUCCAUGACCGAUAGCGAACCAGUACCGUGAGGGAAAGGUGAAAAGCAAGCUUAGUAAGCUAGUUAAAAGUACCUGAAACCAUGCGCUUACAACCAGUCGGAGCCCCUUCGUGGGGUGACGGCGUGCCUUUUGCAUAAUGACCCUACGAGUUACGCCUCACUGGCAAGGUUAAGGUGUUCAGCACCGGAGCCGUAGCGAAAGCGAGUCUGAAUAGGGCGCUGAGUCAGUGGGGGUAGACGCGAAACCAAGUGAGCUACCCUUGGCCAGGUUGAAGCGUGGGUAAGACCACGUGGAGGACCGAACCGAUAAGCGUUGAAAAGCUUCCGGAUGAGCUGAGGGUAGGGGUGAAAGGCCUAUCAAACUUGGAGAUAGCUCGUACUCCCCGAAAUGUAUUUAGGUACAGCGUCGACCGUGUCUGCUGGAGGUAGAGCACUGGUUGGGCUAGGGCCCUUCACCGGGUACCAAACCCUGUCAAACUCCGAAUGCCAGUAUGAUUGAGGUCGGCAGUAAGGGCGCGGGUGAUAAGAUCCGUGUCCGAGAGGGAAACAACCCAGACCGACAGCUAAGGUCCCCAAGUCUAUGCUAAGUUGAUCAAAGGGGGUCGGACUGCAGUGACAACCAGGAUGUUGGCUUAGAAGCAGCCAUUCAUUUAAAGAGUGCGUAAUAGCUCACUGGUCGAGCGGUCCGGCAUCGAAAAUUUUCGGGCAUCAAGCAUAGCACCGAAGCUUCGGACUCAAGUUUCUUGAGUGGUAGGGGAGCAUUCCAGUCUGCGCUGAAGCGGUUUCGUGAGGAGCCGUGGAGCGUCUGGAAAAGAAAAUGUAGGGAUGAGUAACGAUAAGACAGGAGAAUAACCUGUCCGCCGUAAGCCUAAGGGUUCCUGCUCAACGUUAAUCGGAGCAGGGUUAGUCGGGUCCUAAGCCGAGGCCGAAAGGCGUAGGUGAUGGCAAGCCGGUCAACAUUCCGGCACCCGCCAAAGGCGUUAACUCAAGGCGUGACGCAGGAGCGUAAGGUCCGCGACCUGACGGAUGGUCGUUGAAGUGCGUAGGGCGAUCGGUAGGCAAAUCCGCCGGUCAUACAGCCUGAAACACGACAGUAGGGGAAGCCUUCGGGCGGAACCAUAGUGGCCCCAAGCAUGCUGCCAAGAAAAGCGUCGUGAGUUGUCGAGGCGGCCCGUACCGUAAACCGACACAGGUAGGCGAGGAGAGUAUCCUAAGGCGCUCGAGUGAUGCACAGCUAAGGAACUCGGCAAAUUGGCCUCGUAACUUCGGGAGAAGAGGCGCCCUCCCCCAUUAAAAGCAAGGGAGGGCCGCAGUGAAAAGGCCCAGGCGACUGUUUAGCAAAAACACAGCUCUCUGCAAACUCGUAAGAGGACGUAUAGGGAGUGACACCUGCCCGGUGCCGGAAGGUUAAGGAAGGGGGUUAGCGCAAGCGAAGCUCUUGACCGAAGCCCCGGUAAACGGCGGCCGUAACUAUAACGGUCCUAAGGUAGCGAAAUUCCUUGUCGGGUAAGUUCCGACCUGCACGAAUGGUGUAACGAUCUGGGCACUGUCUCAGCUGUGCGCUCGGUGAAAUUGUGGUGCCGGUGAAGACGCCGGCUACCCGUAGCGGGACGGAAAGACCCCAUGCACCUUUACUGCAGCCUGGCAUUGACUUUGACCAAAGUAUGUGUAGGAUAGGCGGGAGGCGAUGAAGCAGCGGCGCCAGCCGUUGUGGAGCCAACCUUGAAAUACCGCCCUUGCUUUGGUUGAAGCCUAACCCACAGCCGUUAUCCGGCUGGGGAACAGUGUCAGGUGGGUAGUUUGACUGGGGCGGUCGCCUCCUAAAAAGUAACGGAGGCUUUCAAAGGUACCCUCAGCACGGUCGGUAAUCGUGCGCAGAGCGUAAAGGCAUAAGGGUGCUUGACUGCAAGACAUACAGGUCGAGCAGGUGCGAAAGCAGGACUUAGUGAUCCGGUGGUUCCUCAUGGAAGGGCCAUCGCUCAAAGG